GGUAAUCCGCAACACCUGAGAUAAUGUUGUAACUGAUAGCAGCUCUAAGUUGUCAUCCUCUAGGUAGACCAGCACCAGAGUUUGUUGAGAUUUAAUAUGGAGAAAUAAUAAUAUUAUCUAUUAUUCUGCAUCCUUUUUACUGUUAGACGGGUGUCAUUAAAUGUUGAAGGUCAGGUUCUUCUAAUAAGAGGUCAUAUCCUGAUAUCCUCCAUUCCAGUUCUAAUAUCAUCAGCUAUCUCAGUGGCUGAAGAAGGAUUCUGUUCAACAUGAUGAGCAAAGACGAAUCUGACUCAACAUUAAAUGGCUGCCACUAUAUGAGCCAUGGCUGUUAUUACCAGAGUGAAUAAAGACUUGCUUUUAA